ensembl:snRNA U7 U7 small nuclear RNA
GAGUGUUAUAGAUCUUUUAGAAUUUGUCUACCAGGUUUUCUGGUCUCUACCAGAAGACCCCA